GGCCCGGUGGCGCAACGGUAGCGCGUCUGACUCCAGAUCAGA
rnacentral:tRNA from 1 species